rnacentral:rRNA from 1 species
UGAUUCCUACGGGGCGCAGCAGUGGGGGAUAUUGCACAAUGGGGGAAACCCUGAUGCAGCGACGCCGCGUGGGUGAAGAAGCGCCUCGGCGCGUAAAGCCCUGUCAGCAGGGAAGAAAAUGACGGUACCUGAAGAAGAAGCCCCGGCUAACUACGUGCCAGCAGCCGCCGUAAUACGUAGGGGGCAAGCGUUAUCCGGAUUUACUGGGUGUAAAGGGGCGCAGACGGCGAUGCAAGCCCGGAGGGAAAGCCCCGCGCCCAACC